rfam:Myotis brandtii contig222402, whole genome shotgun sequence.
GGCAGUUCUGGGGUGAUGUACCCCAGAAUGGAGCUCCCUCCACUCUGGUUCCAGGUGAAUCACCUGAGAACUGCA